GGGAAAUGAACAAUUUGCGGCCAUGGAACCUACUCAAUGCAUCAUCAUUGGUUAACCAUGCAGCGGCCAUGGAACCUCUCGUUCUUUCUUGAUGAGGGGACAGUUCAAAUGCUUACUCUAGUGCUGCUGUCUUGAACAAUCAUGAAAAUCUUUGUAGAUGUUAUAUCUGGACAGACCUAUUUAUGUAGAUUUGUUUGAAAAACACAGCGAAUACAAAACAUUUAAGGACGGAAACCAAAGAUUGAGCAAAUCCAGCUUGAAACAUUCCUCAAAGGCAGACAGUUUGCAACAGUCUUGCUACUGCAGCAGCUGUGCCUGGGUCUUCCACAACAACUCCUUGGUAGGCAGGUUGCACUUCCUCCUUGUAAUUGGACAGUACACAGAGUAUAAGUACUACUUCUAUAACAGUGUAACAAGUGUGAGCCAGUGGGAGACGCCGGAGGAGUUAACCUUAUUUGAGCAACAACAGCAGCAGCAAAAAUGACCCACCCACAAAAUCCUUCGGUUCAACAGUUUCUGUCUCAGGUCCUAUCUACCUGACAAGGCCCUCGGUCACAACAAAGUCGGAUUCAACCGCGGAGAUGCGUCACAACUUUCUUGUUGGUCAUCAAAAUGCUCAGCAUGGGACUGGAUGAUCAUGGUUAUGCUCAAUCACAGGUUUCAGCCAAUUCAGUUGCUGACCCUGCUCAUUUCCACCAGGGUCUUCAGGCACAGGAGUGGGCACGGAAGAACAAACCUACAGGUUCAGCCUUUAAUGUUUUUGUUUACCAAAGUUUCAUUUCCACUUACAGGACCAUAAUAUCGAACCAAUAUGCCAGCUAAGGCUUAAGUACUUAAUGAUAGAAGGUCUAUGCCACAUGAUGGAAAUGAGUGGUACAAAGAUGGUUAAUGCGGCGAAAUUUAUGGUAGAGAAUGCAUGCUAACAAAAGGAGAAGUCUGAAGGGUGACAGUUAGUGCUGUGAUGUGCUCGUCUGAUGUUAUAUGCAAGCGCAAUGUUGUUCACCUUUUGAUUCUCAAAAAAGUUGAAAUCUGUAAUAAUCAUUUAAUUUUGGCCCGUUGGGUUUUUUGCGUGUGUAAUAUUCUCACUGUCAUGGGUAAUAUAAGCUCCUUUAGUUUUCGUAGUGAUGCAAGUCGAGAGCUGUUGCAUUGUUGAUAUUACCAGAGGGAGGCUCAAGGCCAAUUGGGAAGGUUAUACACGGGACAAUUAAUUGCCACUGUAUUGAUUGGGAAGGUCUGUUGAUAUUAUAUUUGAAGAAGCUUUUUCUUUUCUUUUUG